AGCGAACGUUUGCGGCGGGCUUAACACAUGCAAGUCGAACGGGCUGUUCCUUCGGGGGCAGUCAGUGGCGCACGGGUGCGUAACACGUAGGUAAUCAACCCUCUGGUUGGGGAUAACACUUCGAAAGGAGUGCUAAUACCCGGUAUGGCGCAGCGGUCUUCGGAUCGCGGCGAGAAAGACCCGCAAGGGUUGCCAGAGGACGAGCCUGCGGCCCAUCAGCUAGUUGGCGAGGUAACGGCUCACCAAGGCGAAGACGGGUAGCUGGUCUGAGAGGAUGAUCAGCCACACUGGAACUGAGACACGGUCCAGACUCCUACGGGAGGCAGCAGUGGGGAAUAUUGCGCAAUGGGCGAAAGCCUGACGCAGCCACGCCGCGUGAGCGAUGAAGGCCUCGGGUCGUAAAGCUCUGUGGGAGGAGAAGAAUAAAGACCUGUGAAGAGCAGGCCUUGACGGUAUCUCCUUAGUCAAGCACCGGC
rnacentral:rRNA from 1 species